UACAGAGGGUGCGAGCGUUAAUCGGAAUUACUGGGCGUAAAGCGUGCGUAGACGGUUUUGUAAGUCGGAUGUGAAAUCCCCGGGCUCAACCUGGGAAUUGCAUUCGAGACUGCAAGGCUUGGGUGCGGAAGAGGGAAGCGGAAUUUCCGGUGUAGCGGUGAAAUGCGUAGAUAUCGGGAGGAACACCAGUGGCGAAGGCGGCUCUCUGGGCCUUUCCUGACGCUGAGACGCGAAAGCGUGGGGAGCGAACCGG
rnacentral:rRNA from 1 species